rnacentral:lncRNA from 1 species
AUUAAUAAAAAAAAUGGACUUGAGGUAAAAGGAAGAAAUAAGAAUAAAAAUAGAUAGGAAUGUAUAAAGUGUGGAGGGUAAAAAAAGUACUAAAAGAAAGAAAGAAGAAGAGGACAUGGAAAGUAGUGGAAAAGAGAACAAACAAGAGAAAAAGAUUGGUGAAAGGUGGUGGAUGGUCAAAGAAGAUGUACAGAGAAAAAAAAUAGAUUUUAAUGGAAAAUAUAAUUUCAAACCAUCUUAUAUCAAUUUAAUGGAAAUUGAUUUUUUUAUUACAAAAAAAAAAAAAGAGAUCACAUUAAAUUAACUCAAAAAUAUAAACUACUAAUUAUUUUUUCCAUCAACACUUCUAUUUUAUUUUUCCUAUAUUUUCU